GCAAAGCGGUGGUUCCAACGAUUCCGUUCUGGUAAUAUGGACGUCGAAGAUGAGGCACGCUCUGGAACUGAAGAUUAGCCAGAAAACCGUUUGGAACCAUUUGCAUAAGGCUGGUCUCAAGAAGAAGCUCGAUGUAUGGGUGCCACACGAAUUGA